UAUUUUUUCCCCUAUCAUCUAAUUCAUAAUAAAAGGUGAAAUAGAGGAAGAACCCCUAUGGAAAUCGACCUAAUCCAGAUCCAAUAGGAAUUAAAUCAAGAUAUCCAAUUGAUAACAAUAUGCUGCAUCGAAUUGGAUAUGGAAUCCGAUUCCAUAUAUCGGAUUAGAUAAUGAAUCUAACUUGGGAAUAUAUAAUAUCCCAUAUCAAUUUGUUUCUUCUAUUUUGUUUGUGUAUUUUCUCAUUUUCUAUUGAAUCGGAUUCAAAAAAAAUUCCUUAAAGUGGAAACCCAUACAAAAGAUGACUGAACUUAUAGACAUAAAGGAUAUAGAUC
rnacentral:lncRNA from 1 species